UCUUUGAAAAACGGUUCCUGUGAGCUAUAUUUUUGAAAAUACACAGCCCGCCUCUCCCUUCAGCCCUCCCCUCAAAGCCACGCCUUCAAAACACAUGAACGCGCAUGCAGUCUGUCAAGUGUUCGUAUUAUCCCGGGAACCCACGAGAGCUCACGAGGCGGGGCUAGAACUAAGCCACGACAAAUCGAUUAGCCAAGCUAACUUCCAGCCAUGGCACUGUCUCCGGCUACGACCUUCCACGACCACGACGAAAGCUCCAGCUCUGACUUUCCUGGCCCAUCACAAUCAUAACGACCUAACAGCCCAGUAGGACCGAUGGCCAGAGAUGGAGGAGGAGGAAGAUAGACGCAGCAGAGGUCGGGGGUAUUGAUUAGGAAGACUCCAACAGAAUUGACGCCCUGCUAACUGCCUUGAUUCAAUCAUUGAAUUUGAAGCAAUCCCAUCGGUUACUGCAGCGUGCCCUGACCCGUGACCCCAGUUUGAUGUUCGACCUGGCACAUGACAUCUGGUCCUCAGUCACAGCCCAGUAGCACAACCAACCUGGCGCCUCUGCGCAAUCUGUAAGGAGAUGCCCAUGAACAUUGAAAGGAAAUGCUGUGGUGUUCUCAGUUUUGAUGGAAGACUUUGGGCUGAUGUAGGACCAGGUGAGAGAAACGGUCUCUUCAGGCAUGCAGCCUACAGACAGUAUGGGGCACUUGAACAGGGUUGACGUUGUAAUACACAGUACA